rnacentral:rRNA from 1 species
GGAAUAUUGGUCAAUGGGCGCAAGCCUGAACCAGCCAUGCCGCGUGCAGGAUGACGGUCCUAUGGAUUGUAAACUGCUUUUGUACGAGAAGAAACACUACUUCGUGAAGUAGCUUGACGGUAUCGUAAGAAUAAGGAUCGGCUCACUCCGUGCCAGCAGCCGCGGUAAUACGGACGAUCCAAGCGGUAUCCGGAAUCAUUGUGUUUAACGGGUCCGUAGGAGGUCUUAUAAGUCAGUGGUGAAAUCUCCCCGCUCAACGGGGAAACUGCCAUUGAUACUGUAGGACUUGAAUAAUUAGGAAGUAACUAGAAUAUGUAGUGUAGCGGUGAAAUGCUUAGAGAUUACAUGGAAUACCAAUUGCGAAGGCAGGUUACUACUAAUUCAUUGACGCUGAUGGACGAAAGCGUGGGUAGCGAAC